AUUUAAAACACAAAAUUAGGUCAUUUAGCGUUUGAAAAAUAAGCAAACAAACUGCAUUGGUUUUAACUUUUAUUAUAGACUAGACAAAGAUUAAGAAUCGGAUUCUUUUCUUUUUAAUUUGGAGCUGUAAAACUUGAGUUAGAUUUUGUUUGGUUUUGUAAAUCAAACAACGAGUAUUGCAUAUUUUAAUAAAUAUAUCUUAAUUUUUGAGUUAAUAAGUGCAACAUAUCUUCUGCAAAAUAAGAAAAUAUAGGCUUAAAAAUGUUUUGAAACGAAAAUAUUGAAUUUGAAAUAUGAAUCAUAAAUGGAAACUAAAUUGGAGCAUAGGUCCUUUUUUGCAAUUUGCAAAAAAACAAAUUUCAAAAAGAAAAUUCAAAAAAGUUAUUUAUUUUUUUUCUUUUCAAAAAUUUCCAUAUAUUCGUCCUACCCACGAUUCUGUCUUUCCUAUAUAAACCUCUGAAUCCACGCAGAAGAACACACCUAGGGAUUUGAGUUUCGUUUGAAGGAAAACCGAAUUCAAAGAGGCUAUUAUUUGUCGUUGAAUUUGAAUUCGGUCGAGUUUUGAAGAUGGAAACCUUGAGAAUGUUGUAUGUAAUGUCAGUUUUUGCUCUUGUAAUGUCGCUGCUUCUUCCAUCCAUGAAUGCUCAAGCACCUGCUCCAGCUCCGGCUCCUUCCAGCGAUGGAGCAGCGAUUGACCAAGGGGUAGCGUAUGUGUUGAUGGUGGUUGCUUUGGCUUUAACUUAUUUCAUUCACUAGAUUUUGAUUUUGGUGUUUUUUUUUCUGCCAAUUUCUUCUCAACUGAAUUUUCUUUUCUUUUAUUUAUCAUCUGGUUUAACAAUUUUUUGGGUUUGUUUUGACAUUUUAAUUCAAACCCAAUUCUUUGGUGAUGUAAAGAUUCUUUUUUUGAUAUUAUGAUGUUUAGUGUAAUUGGCUGCAAAUGUUCCUGUUCCGAA